rnacentral:rRNA from 1 species
UACGUAGGGUGCAAACGUUGUUCGGAAUCACUGGGCAUAAAGAGCGCGUAGGCGGUUUGAUAAGUCCUGUGUGAAAGCCCCCGGCUCAACCGGGGAAUUGCAUUGGAUACUGUCAAGCUAGAGUACAGGAGGGGAGAGCGGAAUUCCUGGUGGAGCGGUGAAAUGCGUAGAUAUCAGGAGGAACGCCAGUGGCGAAAGCGGCUCUCUGGUCUGUUACUGACGCUGAGGUGCGAAAGCUAGGGGAGCAAACGGG